AAUGUACUCCCUCCGUCCCAUAUUAAGUGACUUUCUAUUACAUGUAUCUAGACGCUGUUUAGGCAUAGAUACAUCCAUAUUUGGGCAAAUUUGAGUCACUUAAUAUGGGACGGAGGGAGUAUUAG
rfam:Brachypodium distachyon strain Bd21 chromosome 5, whole genome shotgun sequence.